rnacentral:tRNA from 1 species
GAGACAGUAGCUCAGCCGGUAGAGCAUCUGACUUUUAAUCAGAGGGUCCCGGGUUCGAACCCCGGCUGUCUCA